UUCAUCUGCCGGGAAACGAACCCGGGCCGCCCGCGUUGCAGGCGAGCAUUCUACCACUGAACCACCGA
rnacentral:tRNA from 1 species